rnacentral:sRNA from 1 species
UCCGUUCGGUAGGUAAGGCUCCUACAGGGAUACGGACUGUUGCCGCAAAAUGGUGGAGACACCAUGAGCUGGUUUGAACAGGACACGUCGAAUCCAAGGCGUGUCAUAAUGCAGUUUCACCGCCCUGCAAAGCUAAAGCUCAAACGGACG